CUAGCUCACUGUUCCUAAGGGCAAUGGCCAUGUUGUAUUUGUGUUUCCAUCCCUUGUGCACUGUUGUGGCAUUCUGCACAUACUGGGCACACAGAGAAUGUUUGUGGAGUUGAAAUGCAUGGAACUGAAUUUUAGUGGGGCCUGUGAGAGAGAAUACAAGCAACCUGGAGAGUCCUGAGGAAUCACAGCAAUGAGGGGAGACAGAGCAGAGAGGAGGGGGCCAAGUCCAAACACCAGUGUCAAAACCUGUCCAGUGAGCUGGGAGCGCUUCCAAGAAAGGAUCCUCUUCCCUCAGACGCACAAGCUUUGAGCUCUUCGUGAAGCAAAAGUCCCUGAGAUUAAAACUGACUCACCCCAGCUGUCCUUGCAAGGAGUAAACCUCUCUCAAGUGCGAGGCAUGUCAAGAGAGGAUCGGCCUGAGAUGGUCCUUCAGAAGUUCCGCUCCUGGCACACACCCCAGUCCUUACGCACUUGCGCAUGCAGCACAUACGUGCAAGACCUCAUGCCAGGGACCUUUGCCUUUUCAGGGACUCAAGGUGACAGCUGGUUCUAAUAUUUUCUAUUUGCUCAUUACCUAUUUAAAUUCAAAUGGAUUAUCCUGGUGCCUUGCUCAAAGGUUUCUUCUUGUUGCUGUAUCACCAACACUCUUGUCCAGGUCAGGAAAUACAUUUCCUUGAAACCUUCCUGUUCUUAAAAAGGUUUCUAUUUUGAAGGGUGCAAUUCACUUCCUGUGUAGAAAUAAAUCAAUGUAAUUUAUGUGACUGGUUUACAAGUCAUCAAAUUUUACCUUCAACCAACUGUUUUUGAUCCUAUAUUUAUUUGCUAAUUUAGACAUUGUAUAAUUUUAAAUGUACAUCAUAAUUUUAAGAGGCUUUUAUUGUGCCCCUCAGAGAAAUGCUGAUCCUCUGGAAACAAACAAUUGUUAAAGUUCUAUUUUUAAAA